AAAUUGAAGAGUUUGAUCAUGGCUCAGAUUGAACGCUGGCGGCAGGCCUAACACAUGCAAGUCGAACGGUAACAGGAAGCAGCUUGCUGCUUCGCUGACGAGUGGCGGACGGGUGAGUAAUGUCUGGGAAACUGCCUGAUGGAGGGGGAUAACUACUGGAAACGGUGGCUAAUACCGCAUAACGUCGCAAGACCAAAGAGGGGGACCUUCGGGCCUCUUGCCAUCAGAUGUGCCCAGAUGGGAUUAGCUUGUUGGUGAGGUAACGGCUCACCAAGGCGACGAUCCCUAGCUGGUCUGAGAGGAUGACCAGCCACACUGGAACUGAGACACGGUCCAGACUCCUACGGGAGGCAGCAGUGGGGAAUAUUGCACAAUGGGCGCAAGCCUGAUGCAGCCAUGCCGCGUGUAUGAAGAAGGCCUUCGGGUUGUAAAGUACUUUCAGCAGGGAGGAAGGUGUUGUGGUUAAUAACCGCAGCAAUUGACGUUACCCGCAGAAGAAGCACCGGCUAACUCCGUGCCAGCAGCCGCGGUAAUACGGAGGGUGCAAGCGUUAAUCGGAAUUACUGGGCGUAAAGCGCACGCAGGCGGUCUGUCAAGUCGGAUGUGAAAUCCCCGGGCUCAACCUGGGAACUGCAUUCGAAACUGGCAGGCUUGAGUCUUGUAGAGGGGGGGAGAAUUCCAGGUGUAGCGGUGAAAUGCGUAGAGAUCUGGAGGAAUACCGGUGGCGAAGGCGGCCCCCUGGACAAAGACUGACGCUCAGGUGCGAAAGCGUGGGGAGCAAACAGGAUUAGAUACCCUGGUAGUCCACGCCGUAAACGAUGUCUACUUGGAGGUUGUGCCCUUGAGGCGUGGCUUCCGGAGCUAACGCGUUAAGUAGACCGCCUGGGGAGUACGGCCGCAAGGUUAAAACUCAAAUGAAUUGACGGGGGCCCGCACAAGCGGUGGAGCAUGUGGUUUAAUUCGAUGCAACGCGAAGAACCUUACCUGGUCUUGACAUCCACGGAAGUUUUCAGAGAUGAGAAUGUGCCUUCGGGAACCGUGAGACAGGUGCUGCAUGGCUGUCGUCAGCUCGUGUUGUGAAAUGUUGGGUUAAGUCCCGCAACGAGCGCAACCCUUAUCCUUUGUUGCCAGCGAUUAGGUCGGGAACUCAAAGGAGACUGCCAGUGAUAAACUGGAGGAAGGUAGGGAUGACGUCAAGUCAUCAUGGCCCUUACGACCAGGGCUACACACGUGCUACAAUGGCGCAUACAAAGAGAAGCGACCUCGCGAGAGCAAGCGGACCUCAUAAAGUGCGUCGUAGUCCGGAUUGGAGUCUGCAACUCGACUCCAUGAAGUCGGAAUCGCUAGUAAUCGUGGAUCAGAAUGCCACGGUGAAUACGUUCCCGGGCCUUGUACACACCGCCCGUCACACCAUGGGAGUGGGUUGCAAAAGAAGUAGGUAGCUUAACCUUCGGGAGGGCGCUUACCACUUUGUGAUUCAUGACUGGGGUGAAGUCGUAACAAGGUAACCGUAGGGGAACCUGCGGUUGGAUCACCUCCUUA
rnacentral:rRNA from 2 species